GGUAUUCAUGACACCGGAUCGGUUUGGCCACCGAUCGGAGGUGUACUUAUCCGGAUAGGUCGUCCUGCGGGGCGAAUGGAUCAGGUCGGUGCAGUUAGUGACAGGUAGCGCUUGAGGUCUGCGGACCGAUACAGCAGGCACUGAUUGGGUACAGUUUCUGGUUCAGUACUUUGAGGCAUUCUUUGCAUUGUUUUCCAUGCAGUAGCAGGUUUAUUUAUUGCUUUCUAUUUAUCUGUUGUAGCUACUGUAGUUCUAUUUCAUAUCAGCUUACAGUUAUAUACUUGUUUAUCUAUCUCCUUUGGUUUCCGGUGAUUACGACUUGCCUUCGUGGCUCUGUCGUACCCACUGAGAAAACCAUGGUUGCGGUUUCUCACCCCCCUUUUUUCCCCCCCUAGGUGACAGAGACGAGGAGUUGGACUUUGGGCUCGACGAGAGGACGAUCUAGUUAGACGGCAGUAGCGACCGUCACCCUGGUUAUUUCUUUCCCGCACUUAGUAGUUUUCUUAAUAAUGGUUCAGUUAGUUGAUCUUAUGUAUGCUUGAAUGUAUGUGAACUGUGGUGCUGGUUUUCCUCGUAUACAUGAAAUUGGAGUUUUCAAUCUGUGGUUUUGGUUCUGUGGAGAUUUGGUUUUCUUGUAAUUAUGCAUCGUGGUUUUCUACCCCUCGAGGUAGUCGGUUUUCAAAAUAGAGUUUCCGUGUGGGAAACAGUUUUAAAAGGGUUUUCGAAUGGUUUUUAUGAAUGAAUGAAUUAGAGUUUAAAAAUAAAAGCUUCCGUGUGGGGAGCACUUUUAAAUAGGAUGUUUGUUGUAUUGUGCAUUGCAUCAUCCAGCGCCUAAGGAGUGCUUAGAGGCAUGCAUCAUUCUAAGGAUUGUUAGCUGUAUGAAAAUGCAUAUCAUGCUUUGGUUGUUGAUUGGUAAAUAUAGGUUGUGGUUGUGAUCCUGUUGUAUUGUUGGUACGCCGUGCAAAUAUAAAGGAGACUCUGUCCGAGUGGACAGAGGAACUUUGUAUUUGUGGCGGGUCUGUACGUCGCGUGGGCCAGGCUGAAAAAAAAAAAA
rnacentral:lncRNA from 1 species